CCUACGGGGGGCAGCAGCAAGGAAUUUUGGGCAAUGGGCGAAAGCCUGACCCAGCGACACCGCGUGAGGGAAUAAGGCCUUCGGGUUGUAAACCUCUUUUCCUGGGGAAGAAUUCUGACGGUACCCAGGGAAUAAGCCUCGGCCAACUACGUGCCAGCAGCCGCGGUAAUACGUAGGAGGCAAACGUUAUUCGGAUUUACUGGGCGUAAAGGGAGCGUAGGCGGUUCCUUAAGUCGGAUGUGAAAUCUUCUGACUCAAUCGGAAGGCGCCAUUUGAUACU
rnacentral:rRNA from 1 species